rnacentral:lncRNA from 1 species
AAAAUGGAUCACAGCACGUCCAGACUGCACCGCGAGAUAAUUAAGCGGGAGCAAAGUACUGAAAGACGUCAAGGAUUAUGAUGGAGGCUGUCUAUGAUCAUUUUGCUGACUCUGGAUCAUCAGAACCUGAAAUAAAUGUUCUAAUUGGUUGUGUCACCGCUGUAACAGAGGGUAUUGUCUACAUUAAUAAAGAAACUUCCUUCCGCCUAGAUACUGUUUGUGAAGGUAUGAUUUUACGUUUUUACGAAGAUAUAGUAUAAGAGGUAAUAUUAUUAUAUACUUGGCUCCAGUUAGCAUCUCUAAAUAUGUGAAUUGGGUACUUGAAAAUAAAAUAAUAGAUAAUUGAGAAACAAAUAGGUGAUAUUUAUAAAAAAUCGCUGCUGUGAUUUCUUAUGUGUGAAUACAAUCAUUAAUGCCUUGUAUACAUUUUUCAGUAAUAAAAAUGUUUAAUUUCUAAUUGAUGAAAACAUUCUACAAUGUAAAGGAUACUAUUAUCUUUUACUUUUUACUAUUUUCAACAUAUAUCAAAUGCUUCAAAUUAACUUUGGAGAUAGCCUCGUAGCCUGGUGUGUGUGUGUGUGUGUGUGUGUGUGUGUGUGUGUGUGUUUAUGUAUGCUCACUGGUGAAUUCUAUUAGAAAUCAGUAGAUACGUUCUAAGUUUCUGUGUACAUCUAAAGCUGUAUUGGCAGGCAGUCAGGCUCAGCCUUGUGCUCUCACCUAUGCACUAGACUGCCCCUGCCAAAGGAGCUGUGAAUGUGACCAGUUGAUUAAUAAAUCCUGUGCUGCACCAAAGAAGUUGGCACAGUAGAGGCGAAUUAAUGGUGAAAGGAUUGGAAACUUCUCUUUUGGCAGAAAUAUUUAUAAGGUGUCUGUCUUAAACAUAUACAAAAUGGACUUAUAUCCAAUAGAAGGUAUGUGGGGUAUUACAGCAUUGGAGGAAGCUGUGAAAUUACACAUGACCUUGGGGAUGAGGUAAUUGCACUCACUUUUUUCCAUGGUUGGUUUAGGUUUUGUGCCUUACAAGGGUGACUGGUUGGAGGUUGUGUAUUCCACAGAGCCAGGCAUAUCGCACAUCAAGGCAUACUCAGUGAAGUCCAUGAACUCUAGGCAUGUGGAUGAGGUAAUUUGUUUCCAUGUUGCACUUGACAUUACUUUCUGUCAAUUGUUCCUUUAAGGCUGACUUUGUUGUCUGGGAUCCUACUGAGUGUGGUUGGAAAACAAGAAAAUAUAUUCUUUGCCAAAAGGGGCAUAUUUACUUCUUAAAAAGGAAAGACUUCUAAAAGGAAAUAAAUAUGCAAUAAUGUUGAACAUGCAUAUAAUUGAUUUCCACAUUAUGUAGUUAAUUGGGUAUUACGAUGUUCUGAGAUGAACAGUUAU